UACUUUAGAUAUGAAGUGUCAGUUGGG
rnacentral:sRNA from 1 species